rnacentral:rRNA from 1 species
GAGAAAGGGGACUGCGGUCCCUGAGUACAGUGGCGCACGGGUGCGUAACACGUAAGUAAUCUACCCCUGACUCUGGGAUAACGGCCCGAAAGGGCCGCUAAGACCGGAUAGGGUUCUUGAGACGCUGGUCGCAAGAGGAAAACCUGCUCCAUGUGCAGCGGGUGGUCGGGGAUGAGCUUGCGGCCCAUUAGCUUGUUGGUAGGGUAACGGCCUACCAAGGCGACGAUGGGUAGCUGGUCUGAGAGGAUGAUCAGCCACACUGGCACUGAGACACGGGCCAGACUCCUACGGGAGGCAGCAGUGGGGAAUUUUGCGCAAUGGGCGAAAGCCUGACGCAGUAACGCCGCGUGGAGGAUGAAGGCCUUCGGGUCGUAAACUCCUGUCAGGGGGAACGACGCCACCGAGGGGGAUAAGCCCUGGGCGGCAGACGGUACCCCCAAAGGAAGCCCCGGCUAAUUCCGUGCCAGCAGCCGCGGUAAUACGGAAGGGGCAAGCGUUG